AAGGAAUAUAAGAUCUUAUGAUGGCAGUUAUGGAGGUGAUAAUGUUGGAAGGAACGUAAGAUCUUAUGAUGGCAGUUAUGGAGGCGAUAAUGUUGACAGGAAUGUAAGAUCUGAUCAUGGCGGUUAUGGAGGUAAUAAUGUUGACAGGAAUGUAAGAUCUUAUGAUGGCAGUUAUGGAGGUGAUAAUGCUGAAAGGAAUGUAAGAUCUGAUGAUGGCAAUUAUGGAGGUGAUAAUGUUGACAGGAAUGUAAGAUC